GUGUUCACCACAGAGAUAAAAGCUGAGAUUGACUCUUCCACAAGGUUUCAAUCGGAAAGAAGACCAGGAGCCAGUGAACCAGAAUGAGGAGGAAGUCAGAAAACAUGCCAUUCAAUUCAUCUUGUAGCACAAAGGCAGACUUCAUCACCUAGUACUCACAUGGCUCCAGGAAAAGAGGCUCGAAGCUCAGCACACCCCUUUCCUUGCAGGAUUACUGUGGCUGGGAAGGUCGGUGAGGAUUUCAUCUGCCACCAGAGAGCACUGUAACUAUACGCUCCAGCCAGCCGGCCCAAUUUCCAGACCUGAAGGACUUGAGUGUUUUUUCUACUUUCAUUCCCACACAAAUAUAGCUUCACUUACAUCCUUCUAACAGCACGGCUGCAGCAAAGCUACCAAUGCUUUCAGUCCUGACGUAUCUAAGGAGCACAGCACUGCUGGCCUUCUGUGAUCAUUCAUGUGGUUUGUGUGCAUUUUGCCUGACUGAAACCAUUGUACCAUGCAGGCCUAAUGAUUACUUUGAAAUUGGGCAUCUCCCUUUUUAGGGAUGGCAGAGACCUUUGUAGAUGGUACCUG